UACACUGAUAUGGUAAUGGUAUAAAUAAAGACUACAUAGGUAACUGAGAUUCCCAAGCCAUUGCCUCCAAUUUCCCAUCAAUCCGAACACUGGCAGGAAGUUUGUAACCGAGGCUUUAUCCUGAGCAACAAGAUGUUCUUGGACAGUGAACAAAGAAUCAAGUAGCCAGCAACAUAUUCUUGGCGUCUGAAAUGCGUUCUGAUUCUGUUCAGGUACCAUAACCAGAAUCAGGAAAAUAGAUGGGCUGAAAAGAAUCAAAGAUGGAGCAAAUUGACACAAAAGGUAUAGUAGUGCUUCAGAUUGGGGUUCAGAGUCUUCGGAGUUCAGAGUAAUGGGCAAACCGGAAAGGAUUGGAGUUUAGCGGAUGAAUGGAUACCUGGAGGAGGAAUGCGCGGCCAGAUGUGCGGGGCGACGGCGAGCGGAGCCGGCCUUCCGGGUGGCGACGAAACGACGCGACGGCCGACGGCCACGGC
rnacentral:lncRNA from 1 species